CAUUCCUAGAGUUUCAACUGAGGUGAGGAGCGGCCAUAUUGGAUCUCGAAGAAAGCGCUACAGGAACUCCCAAAUGGGAAAAGAUGCAGAGCCGCACAUGUCCAGCAGGGGGCAGUCUGGACUGGAGGUCCAGAUCCGAUUCAGAUCUUUUCGGAUUUCAGGCAUUUCUGUUCUCCAAACUCCCAACUGCAGCUGAGGCGGAGGCUUACUGGUCGGUUUUCACCCACAGACUCCAGACUGGGACAUGUCUGCUCAGAAGCAUCUCUGAGUGGCUUUAUGGACGAAGAAAGACGUCCAGAGGAAGUCCUCUCUGCAGUGGGCACAGCAAAGAUUUAGAAGAAGAUGUAAUGAAGGGUGUUUUCACCUUAAGGUCCAGUUGCAGAUAAUGUGGUUCACUUUCACACUCCACUGAAUCAAAACCCUUUGGAAAAACAGUUCCCCUCCUCGCCUGUGGUGGCGCUGCACCAAGAACUACUGAAUGAAACAACAGAAAAACGUCUG